AGUGAACGCUGGCGGUAGGCCUAACACAUGCAAGUCGAACGGCAGCACAGUAAGAGCUUGCUCUUACGGGUGGCGAGUGGCGGACGGGUGAGGAAUACAUCGGAAUCUACUUUUUCGUGGGGGAUAACGUAGGGAAACUUACGCUAAUACCGCAUACGACCUACGGGUGAAAGCAGGGGAUCUUCGGACCUUGCGCGAUUGAAUGAGCCGAUGUCGGAUUAGCUAGUUGGCGGGGUAAAGGCCCACCAAGGCGACGAUCCGUAGCUGGUCUGAGAGGAUGAGAAGGCACAAUGGAACAGUGUCAUAGAACAGGCUCAUACCGGAGGCAGCAGUGGGGGAUAGUGGAAGAAGGGCUCCAGGCUGAACCAGCCAUAACGCGUGAAUGAAGAAGGGCGGCGGAAUGUCAAGCUCUUCUGAUGGGAAAGAAAAACAGCGCGUUAAUAACCCGCGGGUCGGCCGCGGCGGAAAGAGUGCGCACGAGCAACCUCUGAC
rnacentral:rRNA from 1 species